rnacentral:rRNA from 1 species
CAGCAGCCACGGGAAUACGAAGGGGGCUAGCGUUGUUCGGAAUUACUGGGCGUAAAGCGCACGUAGGCGGAUAUUUAAGUCAGGGGUGAAAUCCCAGAGCUCAACUCUGGAACUGCCUUUGAUACUGGGUAUCUUGAGUAUGGAAGAGGUGAGUGGAAUUCCGAGUGUAGAGGUGAAAUUCGUAGAUAUUCGGAGGAACACCAGUGGCGAAGGCGGCUCACUGGUCCAUUACUGACGCUGAGGUGCGAAAGCGUGGGGAGCAAACAGGAUUAGAUACCCCGGUAGUCCCUGUCUCUUAUAC